rnacentral:rRNA from 1 species
UACGGAAGGCAGCAGUGGGGAAUAUUGCACAAUGGGCGCAAGCCUGAUGCAGCCAUGCCGCGUGUAUGAAGAAGGCCUUCGGGUUGUAAAGUACUUUCAGUCGUGAGGAAGGUGUUAAGGUUAAUAACCUUAGCAAUUGACGUUAGCGACAGAAGAAGCACCGGCUAACUCCGUGCCAGCAGCCGCGGUAAUACGGAGGGUGCGAGCGUUAAUCGGAAUUACUGGGCGUAAAGGGCACGCAGGCGGUUAAUUAAGUUGGAUGUGAAAUCCCCGGGCUUAACCUGGGAAUGGCAUUCAAAACUGGUUAGCUAGAGUCUUGUAGAGGGGGUAGAAUUCCAUGUGUAGCGGUGAAAUGCGUAGAGAUGUGGAGGAAUACCGGUGGCGAAGGCGGCCCCUGGACAAAGACUGACGCUCAUGUGCGAAAGCUGGGGAGCAAACAGGGAUUAGAUACC